GAGUUCCAAAACCUGGGACUUAGCAAAGACGCGCACUUUUUCGAGCAAAAUAGAUUAAAACUACUCAGAGCGAUAAGAAAACAAAAAGGAAAAACAGUUUGCAUAUUUAAAGUUAAUAAUCAGAGCAACAAAUUCAGGAAAAAAUCCCAGUUUUCAUCAACAAAUCAAAGAUUGAUCAUUCAAUUGAAAUCCUUUUUUUUCCUUGAAGUUGUCCCUGUUUUGGGACCGCUAGGGCCAGCGUUGGCCCAACUUGCGUAAUUGAAAUCCUUGUGAAUUUUGAUGUACUGAGUAGUAGUCAACGGGAUUUUCAGAUGAAUAUACUCCCCCUCUUCCCGCUAGUUUAAACUGGGACCAGCUGUCACAGUGUCUGAAAGUUCUGGGUAUCCAGUCGUGAAUUUUCCAAUUGAAGUCAUUAUGGCCAACAGAG